AGAAUCAACGCUGGCGGCGUGCCUAACACAUGCAAGUCGCACGAGAAAGGGGAGCAAUCCCUGAGUACAGUGGCGCACGGGUGAGUAACACGUGAAUAAUCUACCUCCGAGUGGGGAAUAACUGAGAGAAAUCUUAGCUAAUACCGCAUAAUACCCACGGGUCAAAGCAGCAAUGCGCUUGGAGAGGAGUUCGCGGCAGAUUAGUUAGUUGGCGGGGUAAUGGCCCACCAAGACGAUGAUCUGUAUCCGGCCUGAGAGGGCGCACGGACACACUGGAACUGAAACACGGUCCAGACUCCUACGGGAGGCAGCGGUGGGGAAUUUUGCGCAAUGGGGAAACCCUGACGCAGCAACGCCGCGUGGAGGAUGAAGCCCCUUGGGUGUAAACUCCUUUCGAUCGGGAAGAUAAUGACGGUACCGAUAUAAGAAGCCCGGCUAACUUCGUGCCAGCAGCCGC
rnacentral:rRNA from 1 species